rnacentral:ncRNA from 1 species
AAAAUUAGAAUUUCUUAGUAUUUCCCUCUGAGAUAGCAAUGGAUGGACAGGAUGUCCAGACAAGGUGUGUCCGAGCCAUGGACGGCGAGUACACACCGGUUGCGUCCAUCAUAAAUUACUUUUAGGAAAUACUUAGAAAUUCUUAUUU